rnacentral:misc_RNA from 1 species
UCCGGUUUGUCACCGGCAGUCUCAUUAGAGUGCCCAACUAAAUGUAGCAACUAAUGACAAGGGUUGCGCUCGUUGCGGGACUUAACCCAACAUCUCACGACACGAGCUGACGACAGCCAUGCAGCACCUGUGUAAAGGUUCUCUUUCGAGCACCCUCCAAUCUCUCGGAGGUUCCUUCCAUGUCAAGGGUAGGUAAGGUUUUUCGCGUUGCAUCGAAUUAAUCCACAUCAUCCACCGCUUGUGCGGGUCCCCGUCAAUUCCUUUGAGUUUUAAUCUUGCGACCGUACUCCCCAGGCGGUCUACUUCACGCGUUAGCUGCGCCACUGAAGGGUAAACCCACCAACGGCUAGCAUCCAUCGUUUACGGCGUGGACUAC